UUUUUGAGUGAAAGAGAAAGGCCUGGUUGGAGAAUGACGGCUGAAACAGAUGGCAUUUAUUAGUGUGAGACUUUCAUAUCAUAUUCAUAUGCUAAUAUGCUAUGCUUGUGGUUAUGGCUUCUCUUGUACAAGUGCAAGUACUUGUUGAAGUGGUUAACAGGUUAAGGUUCUCUUUCAAAAGGAAAACAAUGCCAUCAGACCCAAUAAUUCAAUUCAGAGGAUGUUGAUUUUCAUUCCAUGAAAAGCCUAGAGGCUAAUCAAGGUUGAUUUUAUGUUCCGGCCUUUCACUAAUGUUUUUCAUUGGAAAUGCUGUUAACUGGCACACCUUGGCUUUAAUUGGUGCCACUCCAUCUCUGUUACAACUUGUGGGAUUAUUCUUUGUUCUAGAGUCUCCUAGAUGACUCGAAAAACUUGGUAAAGAAAAAGAGCUUCAAGCUUCGUUACAGCUUCUUAGUGGAUAUUUCCCAAGAAGCAGUAGAGAUCGUGGAUUAUACAGAAAACUUUCAACUUUAACAGCACUCAAAAUCUAGCAUUCUAGACUUAUUCCAGAAGAGAUAUGUUCAUUCCCUCAUUGUUGGACUUGGGUUGAUGGCAUUGCAACAAUUUGGAGGGGCCACCACAAUUGCAUAUUAUGCAAGCUUUAUAUUUGUAAAUGCUGGUUUUUCAAGCAGCAUUGGGACUAUAUCAAUGGCAAUUAUCCAGAUUCCAGCUACUGCCUUUAGUGUAGUCUUGAUAGAUAAAUCAGGAAGAUGGCCACUUCUUAUCGUGAGGACAUCACAAAAUCAACUUUAAGUUUAUGGUGUAUAGUUUAGUCCAUUGCAUUAAAGUUUGCUAACUCUUGCAGGUCUCUGCUGCUGGAAUGUGCUUAAGUAGCUUCCUUGUAGGCUUGGCAUUCUUCUUUUAGGUUUCUUUUGAAAAUAAAUUCAAAGCUUCUCUGUCUGUGGUUCUGAUUUCCACCUAAAUGAAGGAUCUUUUGUCACGAGCAGGACCUCCAUUGGUUGAAGGAGCUCACUCCCAUCUUGGUGCUGAUUGGGAU